AUGCCCACCAAGGUGGCUGCUUCAGAUGUCAUCAGAGUAAGCACCUCAAGUGCCCCCAGCACAUCGAGCCACGGUUCCGCACAAGAUGACUACGAAUCUUCAGGCGACGUGUAUGUGUGGGGUGAAGUUAUCUGUGAAAGCACUGCAAGAGCUGGCUCUGAUGCGGUAAUCAGGUCGGCUGUGAGGCAGGAUGUCCUGCUACCGAAGCCCUUGGAGUCCCAUUUAGUUCUUGAUGUGUAUCAUGUAGAUUGCGGGGUCAAGCAUGCUGCUUUGGUCACGAAGAACGGGGAAGUAUUCACAUGGGGUGAAGAGUCUGGAGGACGCCUUGGCCAUGGAUCACGAGAAGAUUAUGCUCGCCCAAACUUAGUCAAUUCAUUAGCGGUUUCCAACGUGGAUUUCGUUGCUUGUGGGGAGUUCCAUACCUGUGCUGUGACAACAGCUGGGGAACUGUAUACCUGGGGAGAUGGAACGCACAAUAUUGGGCUUUUGGGCCAUGGUACUGACAUAAGCCACUGGAUUCCUAAAAGGAUUUCAGGAGCACUGGACGGUCUGCAAGUUGCUUAUGUUUCUUGUGGAACCUGGCAUACAGCCUUGAUCACAACAAUCGGUCAGUUAUUUACCUUUGGUGAUGGUACUUUUGGAGUUUUAGGCCAUGGAAACCGAGAAAGUAUUUCAUGUCCGAGGGAGGUCGAGUCUUUAUCGGGGCUGAGAACAAUUGCUGUCGCCUGUGGUGUAUGGCACACUGCAGCUGUUGUAGAAGUUAUAGUGACCCAGUCGAGUUCAAGUUUAUCUUCUGGAAAGCUCUUCACAUGGGGAGAUGGUGACAAACAUCGACUUGGUCAUGGUGACAAGGAACCAAGAGUUAAGCCGACAUGUGUGGCUUCACUCAUUGAUUACGAUUUUCACAGGAUAGCAUGCGGUCAUGGCCUUACUGUGGGUCUGACAACAUCUGGACAGGUUUGGAGCAUGGGUAAUACUGUUUAUGGCCAGCUUGGAAAUCAUCGCUCAGAUGGUAAGCUCCCAUGUUUAGUCGAAGAGAUUAUGGGUGAACAGGUUGUUCAAGUUGCUUGUGGUUCCUACCAUGUUGCAGUUUUAACAGUUAAGAGUGAGGUGUUUACAUGGGGAAAAGGAGCCAAUGGAAGGUUGGGCCAUGGAGAUAUAGACGACAGGAAAAUACCUACGCUGGUUGAAGCCUUACGAGACAGAGGUGUUCGGCACAUUUCCUGUGGUGCGAACUUCACAGCGGCCAUAUGCCAACAUAAGUUGAUGCCAGGAGCGGAGCAGUCACAAUGCACCUCAUGUAGGCAACCAUUUGGGUUUACCCGGAAGAGGCAUAAUUGCCAUAAUUGCGGACAUGUCCAUUGCAAUGCGUGCACUUCGCGAAAGGUGUUGAGGGCAGCGUUGGCUCCCAAUCCUGGAAAGCCUUACCGUGUUUGUGAUUCUUGUUUUCUGAAACUGAACAAUGCCAUUGACUCCAGUGCAAUCAAUAAGAGGAAAGAUACCGUGCCUCGCUACUCAGGUGAAAGCAAUUCUGAUAGUACUAAAUUAGCUAAAGCAAUUAUCCCUAGUAAUUUGGAUAUGAUUAGAAGUUUGGAUAGCAAGGCAGCAAAACAAGGGAAGAAAACAGACGCUCUUUCAUUUCUUCGGUCUCCUCAAAUGAGUUCACUUCUUCAGUUGAGGGAUAUUGCUUUAUCUGGUGGGCCUGAUCUGAGCAGACCAGUUCCAAGACCAACUCGCACACCAGCAGUUCGAUCGGUAAAUACUUCCAGGGCUGUCUCCCCUUUCUCUCGUAAGCCUAGUCCACCACGUUCUACCACACCAGUUCCGACAACUCAUGGCCUUUCUAUUGCGAAAAGUGCUACUGAUAAUCUUACGAAAAAGAAUGAGAUGUUAAAUCAGGAAGUUGAAAGACUACGCGGACAGGUCGAUAGUCUGAGGCACCGGUGUGAGGUUCAAGAACUUGAGCUACAGAAGUCUGCCAAGAAAGUACAAGAGGCCAUGACGCUGGUUGCAGAGGAGUCUGCGAAGUCCAAAGCUGCAAAGGAAGUCAUAAAAGCCCUAACAGCACAGCUCAAGGACAUGGCUGAAAGACUGCCUCCAGAUGAUGGCAACGAUGCAAAGCAGUCACAGUUUCCAAACGGAAUCGAGUCUCAUGCUUCCAUUUACUCUAGCAUGGAUUUGGAUUCAGUUCACCAGUCACGGAAUGAGUCUAUCAAUGCAUUAAACAUGCCUAGCCUGCACACGGGACGAUCCUUGCACCCAAAUGGAAUCUCAGGUCAGCAGAGAUCGCCGGGUGUUAAUGAAAACAAUGAAGUGAGUGCUCACAGACACAGGGUUUCAAGCCCCCAUGACGGUGCACUUUCGAAUCGAAGAGCACACAGCAGUAGUGAUGACUUGUUCGCCUCGAGCCGCAGAGCGGCUGAUAGUGCUAGCAUGGAUACUAUGUCCCUCCAAAACGGCGAGGAUGGUUACAGAUCUCGAGGUACGUUGUCACUGUCCAGUACCGAAGUUAAGGCCGAAUGGAUUGAACAGUAUGAACAAGGUGUAUACAUAACACUGACGACGCUUCUUGACGGGACUCGGGAUCUGAAGAGGGUACGCUUCAGGUAA
rnacentral:rRNA from 1 species